rnacentral:rRNA from 1 species
AUUGAACGCUGGCGGCAUGCCUUACACAUGCAAGUCGAACGGCAGCACGGGUGCUUGCCCCUGGUGGCGAGUGGCGAACGGGUGAGUAAUACAUCGGAACAUGUCCUGUAGUGGGGGAUAGCCCGGCGAAAGCCGGAUUAAUACCGCAUACGAUCUACGGAUGAAAGCGGGGGACCUUCGGGCCUAGCGCUAUAGGGUUGGCCGAUGGCUGAUUAGCUAGUUGGUGGGGUAAAGGCCUACCAAGGCGACGAUCAGUAGCUGGUCUGAGAGGACGACCAGCCACACUGGGACUGAGACACGGCCCAGACUCCUACGGGAGGCAGCAGUGGGGAAUGUUGGACAAUGGGCGAAAGCCUGAUCCAGCAAUGCCGCGUGUGUGAAGAAGGCCUUCGGGUUGUAAAGCACUUUUGUCCGGAAAGAAAUCCUUGGCCCUAAUACGGUCGGGGGAUGACGGUACCGGAAGAAUAAGCACCGGCUAACUACGUG